UCAGCAGCCGCGGUAAUACGUAGGUGGCAAGCGUUGUCCGGAUUUACUGGGUGUAAAGGGUGCGCAGGCGGAUAGACAAGUCAGGUGUGAAAUUUAUGGGCUUAACCCAUAAACUGCACUUGAAACUGUUUAUCUUGAGUACAGGAGAGGUAAGCGGAAUUCCCGGUGUAGCGGUGAAAUGCGUAGAGAUCGGGAGGAACACCAGUGGCGAAGGCGGCUUACUGGACUGUAACUGACGCUGAGGCACGAAAGUGUGGGGAGCAAACAGGAUUAGAUACCCUGGUAGUCCACACUGUAAACGAUGAUUACUAGGUGUAGGGGGUAUCGACCCCCCCUGUGCCGGAGUUAACACAAUAAGUAAUCCACCUGGGGAGUACGAUCGCAAGAUUGAAACUCAAAGGAAUUGACGGGGGCCCGCACAAGC
rnacentral:rRNA from 1 species